CCCUUAGAUGUUCUGGGCCGCACGCGCGCUACACUGACGAAUGCAACGAGCUUAUAACCUUGGCCGAAAGGUCUGGGUAAUCUCCAAAUUUCGUCGUGAUGGGGAUAGAUUAUUGCAAUUAUUAAUCUUCAACGAGGAAUGCCUAGUAAGCGCAAGUCAUCAGCUUGCGUUGAUUACGUCCCUGCCCUUUGUACACACCGCCUGUCGCUCCUACCGAUUGAAUGGUCCGGUGAAGCGCUCGGACCGCGGCCUCUUGACGGUUCGCUGUCGAUUGGCUGUGGGAAGUUCGUUAAACCUUAUCAUUUAGAGGAAGGAGAANUCGUAACA
rnacentral:rRNA from 1 species